rnacentral:rRNA from 1 species
CCUACGGGAGGCAGCAGUGGGGAAUAUUGGACAAUGGGGGGAACCCUGAUCCAGCCAUGCCGCGUGUGUGAAGAAGGCCCUCGGGUUGUAAAGCACUUUCAGUGAGGAAGAACGCCUGGUGGUUAAUACCCAUCAGGAAAGACAUCACUCACAGAAGAAGCACCGGCUAACUCCGUGCCAGCAGCCGCGGUAAUACGGAGGGUGCGAGCGUUAAUCGGAAUUACUGGGCGUAAAGCGCGCGUAGGUGGCUUGAUAAGCCGGUUGUGAAAGCCCCGGGCUCAACCUGGGAACGGCAUCCGGAACUGUCAAGCUAGAGUGCAGGAGAGGAAGGUAGAAUUCCCGGUGUAGCGGUGAAAUGCGUAGAGAUCGGGAGGAAUACCAGUGGCGAAGGCGGCCUUCUGGACUGACACUGACACUGAGGUCCGAAAGCGUGGGUAGCAAACAGGAUUAGAUACCCCAGUAGUC